UGGAUUAAGACAGCUCCCAAGUAUCUCCUGUGGAAUCUGAUGUGGAAGAGGCACCUAGGUACUAUCUGUUGAAUGCCUGGAUAAUGGACAUUGACUAUUGGAUGUUUAUUAGAAGAGCAUGAUCAUUAUGGACCUCUAGGGAGUUGUCAAAAAAUGAUUCCAAGUUCAAGUCAUGAGUGUGUUAAUCAAUGGGUUUGCCAGGCUGUCAACUCUUGUUUACAACAGAAGCCGUUCCUAAGAUGCUCAGUGGCCAGAGAGUCAGAAGAUCCUCUGCUGAGUCUUGAUUCCCGGGGAAGUCACUGUCUCUGAAUUUUAGUUACAAUGACAGGCUUCAGAAUCCCAGAAGUCUGAGGCAAGUGAAGUCUUUGGCACUGAUCUGGGUUGUCUGUGUACAACUGAAGAUGCCACACCUCAGAGAGAGGAAGCCACUUGUCCAAGCCACGCAGAAGGAUUGCUGCUGGGCCUCGAGGGAGGUGACUUCCCUCGUCAUCAAAUAAACAUGACUUUCAGAGA